AGCAGCCGCGGUAAUUCCAGCUCCAAUAGCGUAUAUUAAAGUUGUUGCAGUUAAAAAGCUCGUAGUUGAACUUCGGGGUUUACCCAUUGGUCAGGCUUAAUUGUCUGUACUGGUGAGAUAAAUCUCUACCUUCUGAGGAACUUUCAUGCCAUUUAUUUGGUGUGAUUGGAAAUCAGGACUAUUACUUUGAAAAAAUUAGAGUGUUUAAAGCAGGCUAACGUCUGAAUAUAUUAGCAUGGAAUAAUGAAAUAGGACGGCUUGGUUCUAUUUCGUUGGUUUCUAGGAUCACCGUAAUGAUUAAUAGGGAUAGUUGGGGGCAUUAGUAUUCAAUUGUCAGAGGUGAAAUUCUUGGAUUUAUUGAAGACUAACUACUGCGAAAGCAUUUGCCAAGGAUGUUUUCAUUAAUCAAGAACGAAAGUUAGGGGAUCGAAGACGAUCAGAUACCGUCGUAGUCUUAACCAUAAACUAAUGCCGACUAGGGAUCGGACGAAGUUAAUUUUAUAAUUGACGCGUUCGG
rnacentral:rRNA from 1 species